GUGGGGAAUCUUGCACAAUGGGGGAAACCCUGAUGCAGCGACGCCGCGUGAGCGAUGAAGCCCUUCGGGGUGUAAAGCUCUUUCGGCAGGGAAGAUUAUGACGGUACCUGCAGAAGCAGCUGCGGCUAACUACGUGCCAGCAGCCGCGGUAAUACGUAGGCAGCGAGCGUUGUUCGGAAUUACUGGGCGUAAAGGGUGUGUAGGCGGUUCUCUAAGUUCGGUGUGAAAUCUCCCGGCUCAACUGGGAGGGUGCGCCGAGGACUGGAGGACUAGAGUGCGGGAAAGGAGAGUGGAAUUCCUGGUGUAGCGGUGAAAUGCGUAGAGAUCAGGAGGAACACCGGCGGUGUAAACGGCUCUCUGGACCGUAACUGACGCUGAAACACGAAAGCGUGGGGAGCAAACAGGAUUAGAAACCCCAGUAGUCC
rnacentral:rRNA from 1 species